AAGGUACUCCGUCCCAAAAUUCUUAUCUUAGUUUUGUCUAGAUAUGAAUGUAUCUAGUCACGUUUUGGUAUUUAGAUACAUCCAGACAAACAUAAGACAAGAAUUUUGGGAUGGAGGGAGUACCAA
rnacentral:pre_miRNA from 1 species